CAAACCCCCAGGAAGUACUCGAGCUGCGCUGGAGUACUGGACUUCAAUGCUGUGAUGCCCNUAGAUGUUCUGGGCCGCACGCGCGCUACACUGACAGAGCCAACGAGUUUCUUCCUUGACCGAAAGGUCUGGGUAAUCUUGUUAAACUCUGUCGUGCUGGGGAUAGAGCAUUGCAAUUAUUGCUCUUCAACGAGGAAUUCCUAGUAAGCGCAAGUCAUCAGCUUGCGCUGAUUACGUCCCUGCCCUUUGUACACACCGCCCGUCGCUACUACCGAUUGAAUGGCUCAGUGAGGCUUUCGGACUGGCCCCAGGAGAGUGGCAACACUCACCCAGGGCCGGAAAGUUGUUCAAACUUGGUCAUUUAGAGGAAGUAAAAGUCGUAACAAGGUUUUGCAUAACGGAUUCUUCUGAAGCCUUCGGAGACCUUGCAGCCCUGUAUGGGGGUAGGUGGCACGACUAUAAACACAGCCAGCCGCUGCAAGUUGGCUCACGCCAGCGAUACAAUCGAAUUGCGGGGACGUCCUAAAGCCUGCUACACUAGCCUGUCGAGGGAAACCUGACAAGGGGCUUGUGCUGCUGCACGAGCGGUAAAAGUUAGCUGGAUAAAUCACUAUUAGUGAAAAUGGACGAUCCGCAGCGAAGACCCUACCAGCUUAUGCUCAUGGGUAGCGCUCACAGACUAAGUGGUUG
rnacentral:rRNA from 1 species